rnacentral:rRNA from 1 species
AGUGAACGCUGGCGGAAGGCCUAACACAUGCAAGUCGAACGGCAGCACAGUAAGAGCUUGCUCUUACGGGUGGCGAGUGGCGGACGGGUGAGGAAUACAUCGGAAUCUACUUUUUCGUGGGGGAUAACGUAGGGAAACUUACGCUAAUACCGCAUACGACCUACGGGUGAAAGCAGGGGAUCUUCGGACCUUGCGCGAUUGAAUGAGCCGAUGUCGGAUUAGCUAGUUGGCGGGGUAAAGGCCCACCAAGGCGACGAUCCGUAGCUGGUCUGAGAGGAUGAUCAGCCACACUGGAACUGAGACACGGUCCAGACUCCUACGGGAGGCAGCAGUGGGGAAUAUUGGACAAUGGGCGAAAGCCUGAUCCAGCCAUACCGCGUGGGUGAAGAAGGCCUUCGGGUUGUAAAGCCCUUUUGUUGGGAAAGAAAAGCAGCAGGUUAAUACCCCGCUGUUCUGACGGUACCCAAAGAAUAAGCACCGGCUAACUUCGUG